rnacentral:lncRNA from 1 species
GAGGGAAAUUUUUUUUUCUUUUAAUGGGUUUUUAUUUAACAGAAAUCUCUGGUUUAAAAAAGGUCAUUGUUAGUUCGGAAUAGAGAACUACAAUAGUUCUUACCAGUUUAGAUUAACUGGUAAGAAAGACCACCAACCUCACAGGAUUGUUUUUGCGUCUGGAGAAAAGGUCAAAGGGAUGGAUGGGACUGCUACUCUGCAUAUUGGAACUCCAAGAAGUUCAUGGUAGAUCCCACACAAAUGCCCACAUUUUACAGGUAACACCUUCCAUGAAUACCUACAACCCAAAUGGUAUCUGAAGUGUGAUCUGAAAACUGAGUUUCUCUCUGAGGCAGCACAUCCAAGUAGUUUGUAUAUCUGUGGUGUUUGCCUUAUUGCCAUCCAGGUGGACAAAUCUCUCUUCCAGAUCAGCUCAAAUCUCCAUUUGUGCCAUGUGUUCUUCAAAAUACAGUUCUCUUCCACUCAUGCAUAUUGCAAGCAUUCAGAAGACUUCUCUGUAUGGUCUUUUGUAGACUGAUAUGACUGAGCUGUCAUGUAUGAGCUAAUGAACAAUGCAUGUGGAACAGCAGCCCAGAAAGACUUGCCGGCUUUAGCCAAAUGUCUUGAGGCUUAUUCAGGGAGUCUGUCACCUCUGUCUACCAAAUAGCUCAUCAUCAUAACCAAACUGGCAUGGUGAUAGUACACAGGACACAGCACUCUGAGGAGAAAACAGCUGGGAAAACUUUCAACAACAAAAAUGGCACAAGAUGAAAGCAACCUACCCUGCAAGUAUUAAUACAGAUUAUAACCUAGGUUGGAAGGAACCUCAAAAGAUUAUCUGGACAUUUUAUAGGGAAGAGAGCCCAGAUGAGACUAUCUAGCACCAUGUCCAAUCACACCUUUAAAACAUUCAGUGAUGGGGACUGUGCCAUGUCUCUGGGAACGUUGUUCAAAU